ensembl:lncRNA
GGGAGUUAUUGAGUUUAACAGUCACUCCUUACCUGGCUUUUCUCUAAGCUAGAAAGGGGGACUUUUGUUCUAUCAUCUUCUGGGAAUAGACUAAUCUUGAGGAAAGAUUAGGAAAGUCCUGGGUGUGGAGAACUGCCUUGGAUAUCUGUCUUUCCCUGAAGUUCUGAGACCAGUCUGGCUGAGACAACUUUGUUAAGAAUUAGAGAUGAGGAAAACAAUGUCUGAGCAGAAGGUUCUGCCUACCCUGGUUCUCUGACAAAAUCCCUUUACUGUACUUAUUGAGAGAAAGAGCGUGAGAGACAGAUGGAAAGAUGCAGAAAGAAAGAGGUAAAGAUGGAAACAUUAGCAGAACAGAAGUACCAGCUGCAGCAAAAUAGAAGUGUCCUGAGAAGAGAAGAGAUGGCCAAACCAUUAUGACUCAUUUCACAGAACAAGGAUUGAAGCAUAUGGAAAGUAAUUACAUUCAAAAUAUGCUAGAAAGUGAUUUCAUGAAUAAAGAUACAUCCCUCUCUACUCAAACUGACAGGCAGAGGCAAAAGAGCCAAAACAGGUACAGAAACUGCGUGUUCAGGAUUGUCGUCGUCUGGUCAGCAUGCCACUCUUGCCUGCCGUCGAUCUUGACUGUAGUCCUGUGUUCUUCAAUUCAGGAACAAACUGGAACAAUCAGGAACAUACUGGAAUAAUCAGGAACAUGCAUGCAUGUAAGGUUUUUACAAGUGCAUGUAUAUAAGACUAAAAUUUUCAUUGUGCAUGGAAGUAAGCUAUGAGUUCUUCAUGAGUGCUUGUCAGAAUUCAUCAGUUAUUUUUCAUGUGUGGAAGUGAGCAUUACGUGAGUUUAUCUUCAUGAGUGGAAGUUAUGUUAAUCUUAUGUUAAUAUGUUAAUCUUCAUGGAUGGGUGUAAGCAGUAUAGGUUCUUAGAUUUAUUGUUAAGAAUAUGAAUUUGAAGUUUUCUUAUCUUUUUGCUGUGUAAGUUUUUCACAAGGAGAUUUAUUGUAUGUUGUCUUUAGCUAUGUCUUGGAGAUAGAAUUUAGAUAUAAUGUAAUUCGUUUGGUCAUGGAGUAUGUUUUCAUUUGAAAUAAUCUUGUUACUUUCUUUGCUGUUAUUAUUGUAGGCAGAGAGUUUGUAUAGAAUAUGUAGAUAUUUUUCUAUGGCUUCUAAUCUUUUAAAUGCAUAUUUCUUUUACUCUGUUUUACUGGCUUUUGAAGUGCUUUCCUUUCAUAGUUUCCAUUCAUAGGCUGUCAUUUUAACAUGUGCAAUGCUCUCUUACCUGUACUAUCUGUUGAUAAGUAGUCUUGUGUGCUUUUCUUUAUUUUCCAUUCACAGGCUUUCAUUCACAAGGACUGUUAGUGAUUUCUUCUAGGGCAAUUCGUGUUGCUUCUUAUGACUAGGGAUGGUUUUUUUAUAUCAGAUGUCAUUUGCAUGUAUCUUCAUUGAUGACAUGAUCACAUUGUUGUUUCUUGUGAGGUAUCUGAAACUAUGAGGUGAUAUCUUCCUGGUAUACCCUCCCUCUCUUCCUUCCCCUGGUAGAGACUGUUAAGGAUGAAGGCUGAGAGAUACGAAUAACCCUUUUCAGUUCUCA